CCAGCCUGCAAACACUUGGUGAAUGUCAGUUCAUCCACUCCUACCUAAUAAAGAAUGAGAGCAUCGUCCAAGUGGGAGAGUUUAGUGUCACACGGAUGGAGGUGGUUUUCACCAUCGACAGUGCCGUCACGAGGGAUUCGGGUCAUUACAGCUGUGUGGUGCUGCCCUCCAACUGCAUCCAGGAGCACAAGAUAACAAUCCAAGGAAAUAACACAGUAUUACUCGAGGUCAAAGACUGUUCAGCUUCGUGCAUACCAUGGGCGGUGACUCAGCCGGCAGAUACAGAGAUGUUGGAGGAGCAGCCGGAGCAGACAGAGGGAGAGGAUCUGGAAUCACAAGAUGGUAUGUUGAUAAAGGGAUUCCAGUGAAGACACACUCUGGGGAGACUGUAACGAAAUUACCUCCAGAGACUUUGAAAAGAAAACACGGUCUAGC
rnacentral:lncRNA from 1 species